rnacentral:rRNA from 1 species
CGGAUUGCAGUCUGAAACUCGAGUGCAUGAAGCUGGAAUCGCUAGUAAUCGCAAAUCAGAAUGUUGCGGUGAAUACGUUCCCGGGUCUUGUACACACCGCCCGUCACACCAUGGGAGUUGGAAAUGCCCGAAGUCAGUGACCCAACCUAAGGGAGGGAGCUGCCGAAGGCAGGUUCGAUGACUGGGGUGAAGUCGUAACAAGGUAGC